AAACGCCCGGUCACAUUCCGAACCCGGAAGCUAAGCCUCUCAGCGCCGAUGGUACUGCAAGGGGGACCUUGUGGGAGAGUAGGACGCCGCCGGAC
rnacentral:rRNA from 1 species